AAAGGAGCUUGCUCCUUUGACGUUAGCGGCGGACGGGUGAGUAACACGUGGGCAACCUACCCUAUAGNUUGGGAUAACUCCGGGAAACCGGGGCUAAUACCGAAUAAUCUCUUUUGCUUCAUGGCGAAAGACUGAAAGACGGUUUCGGCUGUCGCUAUAGGAUGGGCCCGCGGCGCAUUAGCUAGUUGGUGAGGUAACGGCUCACCAAGGCGACGAUGCGUAGCCGACCUGAGAGGGUGAUCGGCCACACUGGGACUGAGACACGGCCCAGACUCCUACGGGAGGCAGCAGUAGGGAAUCUUCCACAAUGGGCGAAAGCCUGAUGGAGCAACGCCGCGUGAGUGAAGAAGGUUUUCGGAUCGUAAAACUCUGUUGUAAGGGAAGAACAAGUACAGUAGUAACUGGCUGUACCUUGACGGUACCUUAUUAGAAAGCCACGGCUAACUACGUGCCAGCAGCCGCGGUAAUACGUAGGUGGCAAGCGUUGUCCGGAAUUAUUGGGCGUAAAGCGCGCGCAGGCGGUCCUUUAAGUCUGAUGUGAAAGCCCACGGCUCAACCGUGGAGGGUCAUUGGAAACUGGGGGACUUGAGUGCAGAAGAGGAAAGUGGAAUUCCAAGUGUNGCGGUGAAAUGCGUAGAGAUUUGGAGGAACACCNGUGGCGAAGGCNNCUUUCUGGUCUGUAACUGACGCU
rnacentral:rRNA from 1 species